rnacentral:rRNA from 1 species
AGUGAACGCUGGCGGUAGGCCUAACACAUGCAAGUCGAACGGCAGCACAGUAAGAGCUUGCUCUUACGGGUGGCGAGUGGCGGACGGGUGCGGAAUACAUCGGAAUCUACUUUUUCGUGGGGGAUAACGUGGGGAAACUUACGCUAAUACAGCAUACGACCUACGGGUGAAAGCAGGGGCUCUUCGGACCUUGCGCGAUUGAAUGAGCCGAUGUCGGAUUAGCUAGUUGGCGGGGUAAAGGCCCACCAAGGCGACGAUCCGUAGCUGGUCUGAGAGGAUGAUCCGCCACACUGGAACUGGGACACGGUCCAGACUCCUACGGGAGGCAGCAGUGGGGAAUAUUGGACAAUGGGCGCAAGCCUGAUCCAGCCAUACCGCGUGGGUGAAGAAGGCCUUCGGGUUGUAAAGCCCUUUUGUUGGGAAAGAAAAGCAGCAGGUUAAUACCCCGCUGUUCUGACGGUACCCAAAGAAUAAGUACCGGCUAACUUCGUG